rnacentral:sRNA from 1 species
GUUGGGUGUAGUGGUGCACACCUGUAAUCCCAGUGGCUUGGGAAGCUGAGGAAGGAGGAUUGUGAAUUCAAGGUUAACCUCAGCAACUUAGCAAGACCCUAAGCAACUCAGCAAGACCCUGUUUCUG